rnacentral:lncRNA from 1 species
AAAGGUCAAAUGGUGAAAAAUGCCAUAGUCGAUUGCAGGUUGAGUCUCUCCCAUUUCUGAGAGGACUCAUCACACCUAAUUUGAGUAAUUUCCUUUUCAAUUUCCUGGGCCAUUUUAUUUUACCUCUGGCUGCCCCUUGGAUGAGUGUACCAGCUGUCAACUUGAUACAGGCUGGAGUCAUCUAAGGAAAGCCUUGAUGUAAAGAUUGUCUAGAUCAGAUUGGCCUGUGGACUUUUCUGAGGACGUUAUCUUGAUUAUGAACUAAUGCAGACAGUUCUUUGUGCGCAGCAGCAGUCCCUGGGAAGAUGGUCCUGAGUUGUAUAAGAAAGUUAGCAGUUUCCUUUGCUGUGAUAAAACACCAUCCCAAAAGCAACUAGGAGAGAAGGGUGUGUGUCAUCUUACAGCUUGUAAACCAUCAUCCAGGAAAGGCAGGGAAGGAACUCAAGGCAGGUACCUAGAGAAAGCACUUGAAGCAAUUAGAAGAUUGAAUCAUUACCACUGCUGGGUUGAUAAUCAUUUCUCAGGCUGUCUUUUGGCAAAGAGCAAGCUACAUUUUACAUUGCUUGAGUCACAAUGGUCAGUCUUCUCAAACGGAAGACUUCAAGGAAAAAGAAACUUGGAGUAAGAUGAAAGAAGAAAGAGGAAAGACAAGAAAUCAAGAACUCCAAAGGUCACAAGGCAGGAACAUAAGAAAAGAAAUAAAAUUUUUCUCUUUGUAUUAAAAUUUUUAAUAUUAUAAUGUAAUAAUUAUACUAUAAAUAUCAGGGAACAUC